AACAGUUUCUGUACUAUAUUG
rnacentral:misc_RNA from 1 species